UGGCGGACGGGUGAGUAACGCGUGGAAAACCUGCCGUAUACUGGGGGAUAACACUUAGAAAUAGGUGCUAAUACCGCAUAAGCGCACAGCUUCGCAUGAAGCGGUGUGAAAAACUCUGGUGGUAUACGAUGGUUCCGCGUCUGAUUAGCUAGUUGGUGGGGUAAUGGCCUACCAAGGCAACGAUCAGUAGCCGGCCUGAGAGGGUGAACGGCUACAUUGGGACUGAGACACGGCCCAAACUCCUACGGGAGGCAGCAG
rnacentral:rRNA from 1 species